rnacentral:tRNA from 1 species
GCGGGCGUAGCUCAGUGGUAGAGUCCUUGCUUCCCAAGCAAGUUGUCGGGGGUUCAAAUCCCCUCGCCCGCU